CAUAUUGUUUUCCAGCAUUCCUGGGUAAUUUUCGGAUUGACCGUUUUUUUCACUGGAGGGUAAUCUUAUAAUUUUUUAUCUAUGGGUAUAUAAUUGCCGCCAUUUUGUGAGGUGUGGGUUCUCUUCCUGGCAACCAGUCAACCGGUGAACUAGUAUAUGGUGGACGUAUAUGUGUUGCGGAGUAUUCACUGCCGGCAACUUUUGAUUAUUUCGAGGAAGAAGUAAUUAAAAUUUUAAAACGUUGUGACGUAAGUCAUGGCGGAAUAUCUAGCGUCUAUCUUCGGAACUGAGAAAGACAAAGUAAAUUGCUCUUUUUACUUCAAAAUCGGCGCCUGCCGUCACGGUGACAGAUGCUCGCGUAUUCACAACAAGCCCACAUUCAGCCAGACAUGUUUGCUUCAAAAUUUGUAUGUAAAUCCUCAAAAUUCUGCCAAGAGCGCGGAUGGCUCCCAUUUGGUUGCAAAUGUGUCAGAUGAAGAAAUGCAAGAACAUUAUGACAACUUUUUUGAAGAUGUUUUUGUUGAAUGUGAAGACAAGUAUGGCGAGAUUGAAGAAAUGAACGUGUGUGACAAUCUUGGUGAUCACUUAGUGGGCAAUGUUUAUAUCAAGUUCCGCAGAGAAGAAGAUGCAGAAAGGGCUGUAAACGACUUGAACAAUCGCUGGUUUGGCGGUAGACCUGUUUAUGCUGAACUUUCUCCGGUGACGGAUUUCAGAGAAGCUUGUUGUCGUCAAUAUGAAAUGGGAGAAUGUACGCGAUCUGGAUUUUGCAACUUUAUGCAUUUGAAGCCUAUCUCGCGCGAGCUGCGUCGCUAUCUGUAUAGUCGUAAGAAGAGCGGCAGGGGACGAUCUAGAUCACGAUCACGAUCGCGCGGCCGAGAUCGUAAGCGCAGAUCGCGAUCGCGCGACAGACGAUCGAGAUCCAAGGAUCGCCGGAAGCGAGACGACAAAGCCAGGGGAGAUACAUUGACUCAAAGCGGCAUCGAGAAACCUGUGUGACGGAAGCAUAGGUUAGGAGACAUCAAGAUCUCUAACGAGAUGGAUUUGGCCAAAAUAUCAAACGAAAAGAAGUUACACCUUUGUAAAUGGUAUUUUCGUGCUGGUUUUGCACUGCUGCCAUUUCUGUGGGCUGUGAAUGCGAUUUGGUUCUCAAAAGAGGCUUUUGUUGCACCACCUUACGAGGAACAGAAGCAAAUUAAGAAAUAUGUAAUUUUCUCCGCUAUAGGAGCGACUAUUUGGACAGCCGCUUUAGUAGCUUGGAUAAUUACAUUUCAAACUCAAAGAGCUGUGUGGGGUGACUUCGCCGAUGCUAUCAGCUACAUAAUUCCUACUGGAAUUCCUUGAUUUUAAUGCCAGUACUUUGUUGGUAUGCAAUAAUUUAUUACAAACAUGUAUAUUAAAUUAUCUUUGUAUAUUAGUUUUGCGCAAUAAUUAUAAUUGUAAAUUCA